CUCACAACCACAAAGCUCUAGCAGGGAGCUGUGUCCACCAGCCUUAUCUCAGACUUCACCAUUAGUUAACUCAUUUAUUUGGUUAAUUCCUCUAUAGAAAUCUCAGUCAAAACUGAAAUAUUGAUAUACAAACUUAUCAAUUCUCAUACAGAAUCUCUGUUUCUCUGUAUAUACAAACAGAAUAUAUUACAUAAAUAAAUAAAACCAAACGUUAUAAUAAUUAAAUAAAUAUAAUAUAACAAGACAUUAUGGACCAAUAUUUAGCCAAUAUAGCUAGCAACCCCCGUACCAGUUGGCUAGGGAGAAUCUAUGAAUUAUCAAAACAACAUAAAUUAGCGGAAGUCUUAUAAAAUAUGGGCAAACACUUGGCGAUAUUAAUCGAAUAUAACUUGUGACGCAACCACGAAAAUGAAACAAUACGAUAGUGUGUACAAUAAAUUAUUGACACAUACACAAAAUAUAUAUAAAUCAUGCGCAUCCGCGGUGCUCAAAUUAUUGUAGCACAAUAUAAACCAAUAUCCUACGCCUGAUGUAGCAUCCCUCUUAAAUCAAUACUACAUGAAACAUCAAACAAACUCAUCUCCAAACUGACUCAUAUUUAUAUUGGGUUGUUUUUAUCAAGAUAACCAUUAAAGUUAUAUAACAAGAUUUAUUUUAAAAACAUACAAACUAUCGUUACCAUCCCAAAACAGAAAAACUACAAUUAAUCUCACAAAAUAUGAGGGUAACUAUUUUAUAGGAUAAUACAUAUUAGCAGAUUUAUGUUCAUCGCAUAAAAAAAUAACUCCUUUUUAUAAUAAUUCUUUUAUGUCCUUUUCUUCAACAUAUAUAUAUAUAUAUAUAUAUAUAUAUAUAAAAGAUGUAUUGUAAUGUGCACAUUUAUAUAAUAAUAAAUAAUGGUAGUAUAUAUUAUAAAACUAAACAUCUGAAACUAAAAUAAAUAUUAAAAAUAUAAUGCUAUUAAAAAUAUAAUGGUUUUAUAAAAUAAAUAUAAAUAUUAAUAUUGUGAUCUCAUAAUUCUUUCAUUAUUUGUUUAUUUAUAAUAUUUUUCGAUAUAUAAUAAUUUUUAAAUACUUCAUAAAUUAAUAUAAAAUAACUUUUAUUAUAACUUCUCACCCGUAGGGCGGACCGACCCUAGUAUAUUAUAUAUCCUUGUUUAUCUCAAUAUUUUAUUCAUCGUUGUUUGUUUACUAAUUGUUGCUCUGUUUCUUUUUUGGAAACUUACAAUGGUUAUAUUGUUGAUGUAGGUUUUGGAACCGCCAGAAUUGUUAUGCAUGGUUCAAAAGAACAUGGAGGAGAAAGUGGUCCCAAUAGGAAAUGAGAUGCCAUUGCUAUUCCAUCGGGCAUGGUGACUUGGUGGUUCAACAACAGCCAAACCUACCUCGUCAUACUCUUCCUCCGCUAAACUGACGAGGGUAAAGAAGGCUUCAAGGAUUUUUACCUCGUCACAACUUUUCUCAUCAAAGGCUUGAUAUAAGCUUUACCGUGAACCUACUAUCUAGAUUUAGCUCAUGUCCGACCCAGAGGCAUUGGAAUGGAAUCAAACGUGUUCUUCGUUACCUGCAAAGAACGAAAAACUUGGAUCUAUAUUAUACAAACCAUAACAAAGAUGGUUUAGUUGGCUUUGUUGAUGCUGGUUAUUUAUCAGAUCCACAUCAAGAUCGAUCACAGACAAGAUAUGUCUUUACACAUGGAGGUACGGCCAUAUCAUGGCGUUCCAUGAAACAAACCAUCGCGGCCACUUCAUCUAAUCACUCGGAAAUCUUGGCCAUACAUGAGGCCAGCCGCGAGUGUGUUUGGUUGAGGUCGAUGACCCAACACGUCCGAACUAAUUGCGGGAUGGCCGAGUGCAAAAAGCCAACCGUGAUGUAUGAGGACAAUGCUGCGUGCAUUGCUCAGCUCAAGGACGGUUACAUAAAAGCAGUGUUUUUAAAACCGGACCGACCCGAUGGUUGGACCGGGUUCGACCAUGAACCAGUUAUAUAGCCAGGUUGGUCUAGUAAUUGGUUCGACCAUGAACCGGCCACAUAGCCGGAUUAUAUUUCAAAAUUAUUAAACCAAUAAAAACCACUAAAACUAUCAAAAAUCUACAAACCAUCCAUAUAAACAAAAAAUUAAUUUAUAUUUAUAAUAUUUUAUGUUAAAAUUGAUUUAUAUUUUAACUAUGCAUCAUGUUUACUAAUAUUACUUUUAUAUUUACAUACUAAAAAAAUAUUAAACCAUAUUAUUGAACCAGGUUUGACCCGGUCGAACCAUAUUGAACCGUAACCCAAAAUAUUUCCGGUUCACUGGCGAACUCAGGUUCCGGAGUCCUACUGUGAUGAAAGGUGUUUGCUUCUUCUUUAAAACGUAAUUCUUUUGUGUUUGGUGUUGGUAUGAAACUGUGUUGAGUUGCUUUUAAAGGUUAUUUCAAAAACGAAGAAAGCUACUGCUUCUACUAUUGAUUCAGAAGGAUGGUUGAAGACCGGAGAUGUGUGUUACAUUAACAGUGAAGGUUUUGUCUUUGCUGUUGAUAGAUUAUAGGAGCUAUCAGAUGCAACGGUUAUCAGGUACGAAACAAAAAAUUACAUAUAAUCAACUUGUGUUUGAUCUUCUUAAUGUUUUAAAACUUAUAAAUUUGGUUAGAAGCAGUGUUGCUAGCUCAUCCAGAGAUUGCUGAUGCAGCAGUAAUACCGUGAGAACUUGCUUUUAAACAUGACCCAUCACUAAAUUCUUCUCUUUAAUGACCUUUUUUGAGGCUUUAGCUCUUACUUUUUUAUCUUAUUGUUUUUGAAGUAUCCUGACACGAAAGCUUGGCAAUAUCCAAUGGCAUAUAUCAUCAGAACAGCUGGAAUCAACUUAUCCGAAAGUGAAAUCAUUAUCUUAGUCGCAAAGCAGGUGUUUUCAACCAUGCAGACCAUGUUUUGUAACUAAUCCAGCCGUGGUUCCUUAUAUUUAUUCUGAGUUUUGUUUGGAUUACGUAGGUAUCUCCAUACAAGAGGAUAUGUAAGGUCAGUCACGGUUUUGUCUUCGAUCCCCGAGAAUCCCACUGGCAAGAUUUUAAGAAGAGAACUUAUAAAGCUCACAACCACAAAGCUCUAGCAGGGAGCUGUGUCCACCAGCCUUAUCUCAGACUUCACCAUUAGUUAACUCAUUUAUUUGGUUAAUUCCUCUAUAGAAAUCUCAGUCAAAACUGAAAUAUUGAUAUACAAACUUAUCAAUUCUCAUACAGAAUCUCUGUUUCUCUGUAUAUACAAACAGAAUAUAUUACAUAAAUAAAUAAAACCAAAC
rnacentral:lncRNA from 1 species